rnacentral:misc_RNA from 1 species
CGGGGAUGGAACAAACAGUAGAGGAGCAGGAAGAGACUUAACAGAGAUUCGUCAAUUAUCGAUUGCAAGCCCAAGCGUGCAAUCCGUGUUGGAAGAGUCUGACUGGUAUAUUAGUGGAAAUGGGUGAAGAAGCAUGCAGGGAUUGCAGAAGCUGGGAAGAGGAAAUUUAUUGGACCCAUUUUCAAUGUCUCCAUUUCUCUCAGGUUCUCCGCCCUAGUUUUCGUCGGCAGCUUCCGAUCCCAGAGCAUUUUACAAAAAAUUUGAGAAAGAAACUACCUCAGGU